rnacentral:lncRNA from 1 species
CUAAGUUGACAACAUUUCAUAGGUUGGAUAAAAUAUAAAAUUAAACUAGUAGCAUUCUUUUAUGGAUAAUUAAAAUUCAUACCAUUAAAGAUAUUUUACUUAUGCUCAUUUUCACACUUAUGCUUUUAAUUUUUUUCAUCGCGUUAUUACAUUUAACAUUAAAUAAAAUAGCACAUCUUGUAUAGGAUUACUGUUUAUAUCCAAAUACUUUGUUGAAGUCUUACAUUUGUUUAAUUUUUUGCUUAUUUAAAAGUAUGAAGGGCAGAUUAAAAGAAAUUAAGUACUUAUUGCAGCCAAAGGGAUAGCAGAAUUAUUCACACACAGUAACUUUCAAAAUGAAGACUGCAUCUCCCUAAAUAUUGCAGCAAAUCUGUUCUUCACCGACAGAAUUGGGGGACAUCAAUUCCCAUCAAAAGGAAUAACCCAAUAUACAUUGAGAUUGUCUGUGAUGAGAUAGUUCUCAAAACCACUUAGUUCAAUGCCACACUGAUGGUCACUAGGAUUCAUCCAUCGAAUUCCCAAAAAAAUGGGCAAUAAUUUAGUAAUAACAAAAAAACAGCCUUGAUACUCUAAUCUUCGAGCUCGAUAAUCUUAACUACAGAAGCAUCUCCAACUUUUUGGCAGACAACAACUCGGUCGUGUGACUUGAUAACUCCAGAGGCCUUUCCAUGGUCAAGUGCAACUUUCAGAACUGACUCGUUAGUUGCAUUUGUAGACUCCGCCUGAAACAUGACCAAAAAUUAACUUCAAUCGGAAUCAAGGUCAAUGUCAAUGUCCAAUAAAUCGCGAGAACAAUGUAAUUCAGUUCCCAUGGGUAGAACAUGACACUGUAAACUGUAGUGUAAGCUUGCAGUUACAAAAUGCAUAACUGUUCAAUCCAUCUAUAAAGGCUCAUACUACAUCAGAAGGAAAUUACGGUGGUAGUCAAAAAAUUUGAAACAGAAUUCCAUAAACGUCACACAAGGUUCCUCGUACUUGCAUCUAAUCCAAAAUCUAAGACCAAAGAUAAAAGGGAUUUCAAAAUAUAAAUAGCAGAAACGAUAUCCAAUGCCCACAACUUUACAAUUAAAACGAAGGCCAAGAAAUCAAUG